UACCGAAACACUUGAUACAAGGGCAUUUUAUGAUUAACGCUCGAUUUAAAGUUUCAAGGUACAGAAAUGAUGUCUCUUGUAAAGCUGCAGUGAGCCUGCCUGAUUCUAGGUUCUUUCAGCUCAAUGUAACCAACUGUGAUCACCAAUCUUAUUAGAUGGAACACUUUUAAUCAUCCAAAAAGAGCCUUUCUCCUUUCUACCAUUAAAACCAUCCAAGUGAUAUCAGGAGCAUGUUUGGAAGGAAAAUAUUCCAAAAAUGAACAGAGGCUGGUGUUUUGCUUCACUCCAUUCGCAGUCACAUUACCUCCUCACCUCCAGGAGGUUGAGCUGGAUUUCAGCUGCUGAGCAUUCAGAAAAUAAUUUAGACAUCUGCCUGCCAAACAUCCAAUCCAAUCAAGACUGGAAUAAUAUAAACCUCCAUGCUCCUGUCCCUGCAGAGGGAGGAGAACA